rnacentral:misc_RNA from 1 species
GAAAUGCGAUAAGUAAUGUGAAUUGCAGAAUUCAGUGAAUCAUCGAAUCUUUGAACGCACAUUGCGCCCCUUGGCAUUCCGAGGGGCAUGCCUGUCCGAGCGUCAUACACUCCAUCCCCUCCGGGGGGUCUUGGGCCAUGCCGGCGCGAGCGCGGCAGACCCCGAAUCCAGUGGCGGGCCCCGCGCGCACUCGAGCGUAGUAGUUCAUCUCGCCCAGAUGCGCGCGCGGAGGUCGACCAGCAAGCCUUCUACACGUUAGGUGGACCUCGGAUCAGGUAGGAAUACCCGCUGAACUUAA